GCGGCCCCCGCUGCAAAUUUCCACCGGGGAGGGAGAGUGGCUGGAUGCGGAGAGUUUGGAGUUGCUUGCGGCGGAGGGCAGGAAGGGGAGCAGGGCCGGGAAGGGGGUUGGCGGGCGCUAUCUCUGGGAGUAAGUUUCCAGGAUCAGGAGAGCCUGCACGCUUGCUCGCUACUCUGCUUCUCCCCCAUCGCACCCCCCCAAGCGGAGACUGGUCUUCUUGUCGGAUUGCCCAUGCACUUGUUGCAGAAACAGCCAAGGCCCUGGCUCCGGAGGAUGCUGAAGGAGGAAGACACGAAAGCAGGACGACCCUGAAAGAUUGAGCCUCUUAAUCCCGAAACAGGUAGCGUCUCUGGAAAUUUUCGGUGUCGGAAUGGUUUGUGACGGGGCCAUAAGAUCGUUUCUUUGACGCCCGUGGUGUGGGAAAUGCCCCACGGAGGAGAGGAGGGCUGCUC